GACGAACGCUGGCGGCGUGCUUAACACAUGCAAGUCGAACGGAAAGGCCCUGCUUUUGUGGGGUGCUCGAGUGGCGAACGGGUGAGUAACACGUGAGUAACCUGCCCUUGACUUUGGGAUAACUUCAGGAAACUGGGGCUAAUACCGGAUAGGAGCUCCUGCUGCAUGGUGGGGGUUGGAAAGUUUCGGCGGUUGGGGAUGGACUCGCGGCUUAUCAGCUUGUUGGUGGGGUAGUGGCUUGCCAAGGCUUUGACGGGUAGCCGGCCUGAGAGGGUGACCGGCCACAUUGGGACUGAGAUACGGCCCAGACUCCUACGGGAGGCAGCAGUGGGGAAUAUUGCACAAUGGGCGGAAGCCUGAUGCAGCAACGCCGCGUGCGGGAUGACGGCCUUCGGGUUGUAAACCGCUUUCGCCUGUGACGAAGCGUGAGUGACGGUAAUGGGGAAAGAAGCACCGGCUAACUACGU
rnacentral:rRNA from 1 species